CGGCAGCCCGGUACCCCACGUGGAAGGGGCGGAGGAGGAUGAAGGGCCAGGGGAGCAGCGGACCCCGAGCCACCGCGACAGGACCCCGGCCCCUGCUACCGAGGCCCCCGCGCUUCCCCAGGGCCUCCCGGGCGGGGCCGGGCCAGGGAGUGCCCGCCGCGCCCGGCCCCUGGCCCUCCCGCCCGCCGCGCCUGUGUGCACUUUCGCGGAGCCACUAAUCCCCCGAGAGAGCCGAUUUGUAGUGAGGAGUAUCUGGAGGGGGCGAGGCCGGCCCAUGUGGGGUUGUGUCAUUGGUUUGCAAAGAGAGACCCCGCCUUUGCCCCCCCCCAAAAAAAAGGAGCGAGGAGUGAGCGAGCGGCGACCCUCACCUCGCCUCCCGCCUCGCUCCUGCGCAGCCGGCGGGCACCGGGAGCUGCGGCCAGCGCCGCUUCUUUCCUUUCCUUUUCUCUCCGUUUUCCUCCUCCUUCCCCGGAGGAGAAAACAAAUAAAGAAGAGCAAAUAGCCGGGAGGCGCUCGGCAUCCAGGACGUUCCCUCCCCCGAUCCAAGUUGGAAUUAGCAUCCUCUCGGGGGGUUUCAUCACCUUAAAUGGUUUUGAACCAAUGAAGCUGUAUUCCCUUAAAAAGACGGACAGCCCAUCGUGUGAACUAUAGAGUUUGUGGACAGACUUAUAUUGGUGAGUUAUUGUGAAAUAUCUCCAGGUAAAAGUUCAGUUUUCUAGAAUC
rnacentral:lncRNA from 1 species